AACGAACGCUGGCGGCAGGCCUCAAACAUGCAAGUCGAGCGAGGCCCUUCCUUCGGGAAGGUGUCCUAGCGGCGAACGGGUGAGUAACACGUGGGCAACCUGCCCUCAGCUCUGGGAUAACUCCGGGAAACCGGGGCUAAUACCGGAUACGACCUCUAAGGGCAUCCGAAGAGGUGGAAAGUUUUUCGGCUGAGGAUGGGCCCGCGGCCUAUCAGCUUGUUGGUGGGGUGACGGCCUACCAAGGCGACGACGGGUAGCCGGCCUGAGAGGGUGACCGGCCACACUGGGACUGAGACACGGCCCAGACUCCUACGGGAGGCAGCAGGUGGGGAAUAUUGCGCAAUGGGCGAAAGCCUGACGCAGCGACGCCGCGUGA
rnacentral:rRNA from 1 species